rnacentral:rRNA from 1 species
CGCGUAGGCGGACUGGAAAGUUGGGGGUGAAAUCCCAGGGCUCAACCCUGGAACUGCCUCCAAAACUACUAGUCUAGAGUUCGAGAGAGGUGAGUGGAACUCCGAGUGUAGAGGUGAAAUUCGUAGAUAUUCGGAAGAACACCAGUGGCGAAGGCGGCUCACUGGCUCGAUACUGACGCUGAGGUGCGAAAGUGUGGGGAGCAAACA